UUUUGACUUCAAUUUUUUGUGUUUUCUGUUGUAGUUGGAUUUUCGGACACCACCGGGUUUUGACCGGACGCGUAACGCUGAGAUUGGCAACAAGGACAUCAAGCUGAAGUACCUGGAGGAAGCGUUUACAUCAGAGCACUGGCUGGUCCGGAUUUACAAGGUCAGAAAGCUGGAGAACAGGGACUGCGUGGAGCACAAGCUGAGAAACACCAACUCCACGAAACAGAAGUACACCUCCAAAAAGACAUCCAAGAGGAAGCGGGGCUUCAUCAAAAACAAGCUGACCCUCAAGAAGGGAAAGAAACUGACCAAGAAGUCUUUAUAGGGCGACGUCCAGCAUCUACGGAGGCACAUUGUGGACAAAACUAAAAAUCUAACUUCCAACAACAACACGCUAUAAAUUAACCAGUCAAGAAGAAACGGGAACCUGAGGUUCUUUUCAUCCUGAGCGUCUUCACCUGGAGCUCCAGGCUGGACAUGUGACAUCAUCCAGGAAAGGGCUGUAUGUACAGAACCCUAGCCGACCUUUGGCCUGAAACAGGAGAUGGAGCAAUGGCGGCUAAUCCUCUGCACACUGGUUUGAACCUGAGAAACUGCGACCUUUGACUUAUAUUUCUUUUUGUACUUGAAUGUGCCGGUGAGUGAGAGAAGGCAGCGAUUUGUUAAUCUGGGAGGUGAUUUUGGGACGCUGCCGUCAUGCGGUCUCCAAACAAAUCACAUGUUCAAAGCCCGGCCUCUUUUUUUUUUUUUUGACAUCUGAACAUUAAUUU